AGCUGAGGGAUGAUUGUCAUCUAGUCUCCAGAUCCAAGCCUGAAACACAGCAGUCUCAAACAGCAGAGGGAUUAUUCUCAUCGAAUUUCCAAACCCAAGUCUGAAACACAGCAAUCUCAAGCAGUGUGGGCUGAAAAAUGUCCUCACCCAGAGCUGAGGGAUUAUUCACGUCCAAUCUCCAAACCUGAGUCUCUACCACACCAAUCUCAACCAGGUA